CUUCGUAAUUUCAUUUGCCUACAAAGAUGAGAACGUGGUCAUAAGGUUAGACAGAGAGAGCGACAGAAGGGGGAGAGACGGUGGUUCCAGGCGUCACAGAAGGGGGUGGAGACGGUGGUUCCAUUGUGUACGCUUCACCACUGCGCCGACGUGUAAACCAGCUGUCUCGCGAGGAACUCUCCGGCGAUGCCGGUAACUGUCCGGCGAACCUAGGGUUCCGCCAUGACCUCAUAUGGUGGCGGCGUUGAUGGUGUUCUGAUUAAUGAGCACCGAUGGUUAACAGAUUCAACGGAGAUGAAGACAACUGCCAUACGAGUUAGUUCCGACAUAUUUUCCGGCGUUUAAGCGGCGGAGAGAUGAUGCUAGGGUUCCGGUGAAGGUCCGGCAAAGUUCGGGUACCCUGAUUCAGAUUAACCGUAGGUGCUCCGCUCACCGAUUUAGAGUCUCUGGCGAGUUCCACACCAGUGUAGAUCGAUAACCACAAAGGCUGGAAAAAAAAUCGACUGUUUCUUUUUAAACUUUCAAGUCUCAGAAGGGCAUCAAGCAACAACGCUCAACACUACUCCGCUCUCAAACUUGACGCCCUCGACACAACCACAACCAACUCGAAGGCUUUCGUUAGGCGAUUACGACUCUGCCAGGAGGUUCGAAAUUGUGAUGUGAAGAUGCAUGCAGUUACCAAGCUUGCUAGCAACCUUCUGAGGAUUCCUCUUUCUAAUACCAGUUAUUUUCAAAACAUGGAAUUCUAAUUAACGAUUACAAAGUUAUCCUUAAUUGCUUUGCGACGAGCGAUUUAGAUUUCAAGUACACUAAUUUGGCAAGCAAGGUAAGAUUCAGAGGUUCUUUCUUUCCAAAUUGCAUAUUAUUUACACUUGAAAUGUAAAUAUAAAUAUUAAUGCAAUACUUAGAUUUAUUUGUCAACCUCUUAGUAAAAUUCACAAGAACAGAUUGUUGACUCUUAUCCUUUUUAUAUGCAGAUGUUGAAACUUUGAUUAUAGUGCCUAAUUCAUAAAGUUAUCAAAAUUUCGUUUAAAUCUGUUGUUACAGUUUAAUCAUAAUCACUGAAAUUAAGUUUGCUUUUUGAAUUUUGUAGUUACAUGAAUUGUAUAUAGAUUUAUACAGGGUUGAGCUGGUUUGGUAACGGGCGCCACCCCCGCCAACUCAUCAUCUAUAGCGCCCCGGGGCGCUAUACCUCCACACCCUCGGAUUUAAAGGGGGGCGCUAUAGGAGGGGCUCCAUCAUGGUAACGAUGGAGAAGGGGCGCUAUAGAAGGGGGCCACCUGAUUUAAACCAAUGAAAUCUUUUUUUUAAUUUGUUUAAUAGGGGGCUCCAUCCACACCAUCAAAUUAAAGGGGGCUCCAUGGCUGAGGUGGAUCCUAGGUGGCGCUGACGUAGCCUGAUAAAGCCCCCAGGGGGCUCCAACCACACUCUCCAGCCUAAUUCAAGAUAUGGACUUUCACAUUCUUUGCUAAAACUGAGUUAAUUAACUUUUUAAAUCAUGUUUAUUGUUUUGAAUAUCCAUUUGAUCGUGAUGGUAUGGCCAUAGAUGUUAACGAUUAUCAAACAUGUAGCAAAACAAGAUAUGUAUGUGUGUGAAAUUAUUUAAGAGUUUUUAUGAAAUGAAAAUACACUUAGGUGACUUUUAUUCUUUUAACCUAUUUGAGUUAGUUUUAGUUUAAGUGCAUUCUGAAGUAGACAUGGUGAAUUAUGGUGGGCAAAGGGUUGCCGGUGGUGGUGGAUUUUCAGUGAUUUUGUAGAUGUCAUUUUAUCUAAAUAGCGAAAGGGUCGCCGUAAAGAGCUUAUCAGUCACUUCAACAUCCGUCUCCGAAUACAAAGGAAUGCUACUAGAAAUGACACCGGCAGGCGGCAACUACAGUGGCAAUCAAUCAAAGCAUGAAAAGCACACUGUAAUUGUAAUUUUGGUUCUCAUUGUAUAAUAAAAAAUCGCAAUCAGUUGCUUAAGUUUGUACGCUGUGUUUUACGCCGCCGCAACGCGCGGCGGGUAAAAAUUCUAGUUGAAUAUAUGAGGUAAAUAGUUGGGCACCUAACAAUCUUAUUGAACCUGUAGAUGUGAUAGAAGAGACGGAUAUAAAUACGGAAUGCUGCAUACACGUGCUUGAGAUUUUGUUAAGCAAAGCUGAUACUGAAAUUGUUGAAUGUGAAUGAGAGUUAAUGGACUUGUUGAGUCAACUUGCCUGCACUGAUGAAGUAUUUUUAAGAACAGUUCACAACUCUAGCUAUGGA